rnacentral:sRNA from 1 species
CGUCCUCGAUCUGCUGGGGGCAGAUGAAGUGGAUGUGGCUGUCGAAGCCGCCGGCGGUGAGGAUGCGGCCCUCGCCCGCGAUGGCCUCGGUGCCGGGGCCGACGACGAUGUCGACGCCGGGCUGGGUGUCGGGGUUGCCGGCCUUGCCGAUGGCGGCGAUGCGGCCAUCCUUGAGGCCCACGUCGGCCUUGAUGAUGCCGGUAUGGUCGACGAUGAGGGCGUUGGUGAUGACGGUGUCGACGGCGCCCUCGGCGCGGGUGGCCUGGGACUGGCCCAUGCCGUCGCGGAUG